AGAUUUCGGAUUCAGGGUAGAAAGGGGGAGAGGAAAAUCGAAGGAAAACAAUCGGAAACGGAGACGGAGACUAGAAAUAAGAGAGAGCAAUGAAAUCGCCGAGAUGGGGAUAUGUUAGAAUUAUAUCAGGAACUAUUUUUGGAGGCAUUCUUGGAUUCUAUCUUAUGCAUCGCGCUGAACUUCAAUACAAGGAAAUGUGGAACGAGAGAUUGAAGAAGUAUGAGGAGGAGCUCAAAAUGAAUCAAAGUAUGGAGACGCAUACCCCCACUGAGUUGUCUGGAGAUCCUCUUGCGAGAUAGAUGGAAUUCUGUGCGUAAUUCUUCAAAGGCGUGAUCCGGGUUUCAACCUCAACUGCUGUUUCAUAUGUCCAAAGAGGUAGACAGGGAAACGGCAGAGAUGUGGUUGCUGUUAUCAUGUGAAAAGAUGAUCAUAGAGAACAAACCCCCACGGGAAUGUAGUUUUGUGAAUUAUAUUAAUAAGUCAGAUCUUUGGGGAGGAAAAUAACUAUCACCUUAUUUCACAGCUCCACCCCCCACCCCCACCCGAAUUUUCUCAAGCCAACCUUUCCCGCUGCAGCUCCUUUUUUUUUUUGUCCGUGGAUUGGCUUAAAUUUAAGUGCCAAGUAAAGUUUUAGCUUUUUUGCGUUUGGUAAAUAAUGAGUCAAUUUUUCUAUGAGUGUCCUUCAUUUGAAAUGGGGAAAAUUUGACAAAACGUGCACAACCAUUGAGGGCAUCAGAGAAGAAGAAAAGCAGCGCAUUUGCUUGAAAAAUAAAGUGGCCAAAUGGCCAUUUUUUGACAAGUGGAUUAUUUUGGGGAACAAUGUUGAUACAAAAUAUUGUCUAAAUAUUCCUUUUUUUUAACUGAACUUUCUGUCGAUAUGGGUUGAGAUGAGUUUAUAUGGCUAGACUGGACCGUUCUUUUUCAGCAGAUGAGCAUUUUAAUCAA